AGCGAACGCUGGCGGCAGGCUUAACACAUGCAAGUCGAGCGGGCGUAGCAAUACGUCAGCGGCAGACAGGUGAGUAACGCGUGGGAACGUACCUUUUGGUUCGGAACAACACAGGGAACUUGUGCUAAUACCGGAUAAGCCCUUACGGGGAAAGAUUUAUCGCCGAAAGAUCGGCCCGCGUCUGAUUAGCUAGUUGGUGAGGUAACGGCUCACCAAGGCGACGAUCAGUAGCUGGUCUGAGAGGAUGAUCAGCCACAUUGGGACUGAGACACGGCCCAAACUCCUACGGGAGGCAGCAGUUGGAUACUGUACGAUAGGGAACCGGUAACCGAGUACCUACGACCGACU
rnacentral:rRNA from 1 species